rnacentral:rRNA from 1 species
UUUUAUGGAGAGUUUGAUCCUGGCUCAGGACGAACGCUGGCGGCGUGCUUAACACAUGUAAGUCGAACGGAAAGGCCUAGCUUGCUAGGUACUCGAGUGGCGAACGGGUGAGUAACACGUGGGUGAUCUGC